rfam:Salmo salar isolate Sally breed double haploid chromosome ssa09, whole genome shotgun sequence.
UGGCUCAGUUGGUAGAGCAUGGUGUUUGCAAUGCCAGGGUUGUGGGUUCGUUUCCCAC